rnacentral:rRNA from 1 species
GACAGAGGGUGCAAACGUUGUUCGGAAUUACUGGGCGUAAAGAGCGUGUAGGCGGCCAAACAGGUCCGUUGUGAAAACUGGAGGCUUAACCUCCAGACGUCGACGGAAACCGUAUGGCUAGAGUCCAGAAGAGGAGAGUGGAAUUCCUGGUGUAGCGGUGAAAUGCGCAGAUAUCAGGAAGAACACCAAUGGCGAAGGCAGCUCUCUGGGACGGUACUGACGCUGAGACGCGAAAGCGUGGGGAGCGAACAGG